rnacentral:rRNA from 1 species
CCCUUAGAUGUCCUGGGCCGCACGCGCGCUACACUGAUGCAUUCAACGAGUUCUUCCUGGUCCGAGAGGAAUGGGUAACCUUUUGAAAGUGCAUCGUGCUAGGGAUAGACUAUUGCAAUUAUUGGUCUUCAACGAGGAAUUCCUAGUAGACGUAGUUCAUCAGACUGCAUCGAUUACGUCCCUGCCCUUUGUACACACCGCCCGUCGCUCCUACCGAUUGGAUGAUCCGGUGAGCUAUUCGGACCUGUGCAUUUUCCAUUGGAACUUGCGUGGGAAAGUCUCGCGAACCUUAUCAUCUAGAGGAAGGAGAAGUCGUAACA